AUGACGAUGCCAGUCCAGUGGUCCGAUCUCCCCGACGACCUCCUCCAGUUGGUCUACAGCAAGGUCGCCGGCCCGCUCAACCGCGCCCGCUUCGCGGCGGUAUGCAGGUCGUGGCGAGCCACCACAAUCACCUCGCCGCACGCGGCGCCGCCGGUCCUCCCGUGGCUCAUGUUCAGGGACGCCCGCGAGGACGACAACAAGACGAAGGUGUACUGCCCCGAGGAUGGCCGGGUCUUCCGCAUGUCGCUGCCGAGCCAGGCGGUCGGCAAGCGGUUCGUGGGAGCCCAUGACGGCGGCUGGGUCGCCGCGCUUGGGCACGACAUGCAGCUCGCGGUCGUGAACCUCUUCUCCAGUGUUGAGGUGCCGCUCCCCGCCAAGAACAUGUACACACUCUGCCUAGGUGGCGGCUGGAACGACAUCCGGAAGAUUGUGUUUUCAGAAUCCCCCGCCUCAACCGGCUGCAUCCUCGCUACCAUCACCCCCCGACACCGUCUCGCCUUAUGCAGGAUUGCUUGUCCGAACAACAAGUGGACGGAAGGAGGACCCGUAUACGGGCUUGUGGACAUCGUAUUCUGCAAUGGACAAUUAUUUGGCCUCACCAUGUUCGAGGAAUUGGUCAGGUUCCAAAUAGGUGUUGAUCAAGAUGGCAAGCCGAUGCUCACCGGCGAACCCCACGCAUUAUCAAUCCGAACAGGCAGCUGCCCUGCCAGGCAUCCGAAGAACAUCGUUGAUCUACACGGCAAGCCAGCCAUGGUGGUGAGGAACUGGUCGUCAUCAUGUGAAGCCUUUUGCGGGCCUUUCUUCAGGGUGUUUGAGCUUGUUGAUGGAUCGACGACGGCAGAGUACGCCCACGAGUGGGAGGAGGUAACAUGUCUAGGUGACUAUGCUGUUUUCUUGGGGAAAACGUGGUCCAAGGUUGUGUACAUGUCCACUGUUGGGCGCAGUGGGCUGCAAAGAAACUGCAUCUACAGUACCGAUGACAUGGCUGAUGGUGAUGAGCUGCUCCCUGCUGUUAGACAAGCCGGGCGCUGUUGGCCAGACCCAAAUUACACCGGCUACAAGGACCCAACAGGCUUUGCUGGAGUCGAAGAUGGCAAGGUCGAGGUAGGAGCUGCAGGGAGUAGGCAGAGUCGCAGAGGCAGGCAGCUAGCAUGUGGGCACAUCAAACAGAAGAUGAUGCGGUUGGCAUUGAUGGAGCUGCAGCCUGCAGGCGUGCACCAGCACUCAUCGGCCCUAACAACGCACAGCAUGGUGACAAGGGACGAGAACCAGCUCAGCCUUGGAUUCCUCAACGCACGGCAGGAAGUCAAAACUGAUACAUACUGGCAUCCAUCCCGGAGUCCUCGGCAUGGAGUAGAACGCCAUUUUAAGUUUCAGAAUGCUAUUUGGCGUUGUUCCUCCAUAGACACACUGGAGAAAAUAGACUCCUCACCAGGUUGGCCCCAGACUCCUCAAUACGGAGGAAGCGGUAGGCUACAGAGGGAGCAACAGACCGCGUCGAGCAACUUGUGGAAGAAGUGUGGCUACAGAGGGAGCAACAUACCGGAAUUGGGGAAACAGGUCAUCAACGUCUUCUUCCUCAUCUCCCUGAAAUCAUCUGCUUGA
rnacentral:rRNA from 1 species